UCAAGCUACAAAGAGCACAAGGGGAAUGCCUUGGCACCGAGAGCCGAAGAAGGACGUGACUAACUGCGAUAAGCUACGGGGAGCUGUAAGUGAGCGUUAUAUCCGUAGAUUUCCGAAUGGAGCAAUCCGAUUAGAGGAAAGUCUAAUCAUCAUAUACUGAAUACAUAGGUAUAUGAGGGGAACCGCCUGAACUGAAACAUCUAAGUAGGGCGAGGAAGAGAAAUCAACAGAGAUUCCGUAAGUAGUGGCGAGCGAACGCGGAAGAGGCCAAACCUAAUGUAGUAAUAUGUUAGGGGUUCGGACAGUAAAAUGAAUUGUCGAGAUUUAGCCGAAUGUCAUGGGAAGGGCAAUCAAAGAAGGUGAAAAUCCUGUAGGCGAAAAGUUAAGACAUCAGACUGUAUCCAGAGUACCGCCGGACACGUGAAACCCGGUGGGAAUACGGGGGGACCAUCCUCCAAGCCUAAAUACUACUCGGUGACCGAUAGAGAAGAAGUACUGUGAAGGAAAGGUGAAAAGCACCCCGGAAGGGGAGUGAAAGAGAACCUGAAACCUUGUGUUUACAAGCACCGAAAGUUCAUCAACGAACGAUCGGGUACCUUUUGUAGAAUGGUCCGGCGAGUGAAUGUAACUGGCAAGGUUAAGCACUUAAGGUGUGAAGCCGUAGCGAGAGCGAGUCUGAAAAGGGCGCAUGAAGUCAGUUGUAUUCGACCCGAAACCGGGUGACCUACCCAUGUCCAGGCUGAAGUGCAGGUAAAACUUCAUGGAGGGCCGAACCGACUCCCGUUGAAAUGGUAGCGGAUGAGGUGUGGGUAGCGGAGAAAUUCCAAUCGAACCCGGAGAUAGCUGGUUCUCUCCGAAAUAGCUUUAGGGCUAGCCUUGGAAUAGAUUACUGGAGGUAAAGCACUGAAUUGGCUAGGGGCCGAGAGGUUACUGAACCUUAUCAAACUAAGAAUGCCAGAUAAUCGUUUUCCAGGAGUCAGACAGUGGGAGAUAAGUUUCAUUGUCAAAAGGGAAACAGCCCAGACCUACAGCUAAGGUCCCAAAGUAUAGUUAAGUGGAAAAGGAUGUGGAAUUGCAUAGACAACCAGGAUGUUGGCUUAGAAGCAGCCACUCAUUAAAAGAGUGCGUAAUAGCUCACUGGUCGAGUGAUUCUGCGCCGAAAAUUUAACGGGGCUAAACUAUACACCGAAGCUUAGGAUACCGCAAGGUAUGGUAGGAGAGCGUUCUGUACGGAGUGAAGUCGUAGCGAAAGCGGCGGUGGACUGUACAGAAGUGAGAAUGCCGGAAUAAGUAGCGAGAAUUAAGUGAGAAUCUUAAUGGCCGAAAGUCUAAGGUUUUUGGAGGAAGGUUCGUCCGCUCCAAGUAAGUCGGGAGCUAAGGUCAGGCCGAAAGGCGUAGCCGAUGCACAAACGGUUGAUAUUCCGUUACCGUCUACAAUUUAAACAAAGGGACACAUACAAAGCGUUUAACCCGGGCGAUGGUUGACCCGGGCGCAAGGGACUGAAAUAAGAGUAGGGAAGUAAAUGUGGCGUAUGGCGAGAAAAGCUUUGUGUAUAGAAGUAGACGCCCGUACCGCAAACCGACACAGGUGGACAGGAAGAGAAUUCUAAGGCCAGCGGGAGAAGGGUAGUUAAGGAACUCGGCAAAUUGACUCCGUAACUUCGGAAUAAGGAGUGCUCGAAAGAGCCGCAGAGAAUAGGCCCAGGCGACUGUUUAGCAAAAACACAGGUCUCUGCCAAAUCGAAAGAUGAAGUAUAGGGGCUGACACCUGCCCGGUGCCGGAAGGUUAAGAGGAGGAGUGCAAGCUCCGAAUUGAAGCCCCGGUAAACGGCGGCCGUAACUAUAACGGUCCUAAGGUAGCGAAAUUCCUUGUCGGGU
rnacentral:rRNA from 1 species